AUACAGAGGGUGCAAGCGUUAAUCGGAAUUACUGGGCGUAAAGCGCGCGUAGGUGGUUUGGUCAGUCAGAUGUGAAAGCCCUGGGCUCAACCUGGGAACUGCAUUUGAUACUGACAAGCUCGAGUAUAGUAGAGGGAAGUGGAAUUCCACAUGUAGCGGUGAAAUGCGUAGAUAUGUGGAGGAACAUCAGUGGCGAAGGCGGCUUCCUGGACUAAUACUGACACUGAGGUGCGAAAGCGUGGGGAGCAAACAGGAUUAGAAACCCUAGUAGUCC
rnacentral:rRNA from 1 species